UACGUAGGGGGCAAGCGUUGUCCGGAAUCAUUGGGCGUAAAGCGCGCGUAGGCGGCCCGGUAAGUCCGCUGUGAAAGUCAAAGGCUCAACCUUUGAAUGUCAGCGGAUACUGCUGGGCUAGAGUCCGGAAGAGGCGAGUGGAACUCCUGGUGUAGCGGUGGAAUGCGCAGAUAUCAGGAAGAACACCAACGGCGAAGGCAGCUCGCUGGGACGGAACUGACGCUGAGGCGCGAAAGCGUGGGGAGCGAACAGG
rnacentral:rRNA from 1 species